CUGGAAAGCAGUGGUAUCAACGGGGGCAGGAGAUAGUAAGAGGCGAAUUGGAAUCGCUUGUCCUCGAGAUCCUGCUUCCCCAGACGGUCCCUUCUCAGUCAGGCUCCCAUUUCCACGGUUGUCAUGUUGGCAUCUGGGUGGCCCAUGCCGAAGUACAGAAGCUGUAUUCCGUUACGUGUGUGCGUGUGUGUGUGUGUGUUUGGCUUCUAGGGAAACAGCUCCGGGGAAUGGCCCCUGAUCCGCCUAAACUCAUGAAUUCUAACCAUGUCCCUUCACAGGAGGAGCUGGAGAUAACGGUUUAAUAAAAACGAUUCUGUA